rnacentral:rRNA from 1 species
AGCCAUGCGAGUCAUUGUAGUAAUACAAGGCAGACGGCUCAGUAACGCGUAGUCAACCUAACCUAUGGACGGGAAUAACCUCGGGAAACUGAGUAUAAUGCCCGAUAGAACAUUAUGCCUGGAAUGGUUUAUGUUCCAAAUGAUUUAUCGCCGUAGGAUGGGACUGCGGCCUAUCAGUUUGUUGGUGAGGUAAUGGCCCACCAAGACUAUUACAGGUACGGGCUCUGAGAGGAGUAGCCCGGAGAUGGGUACUGAGACACGGACCCAGGCCCUAUGGGGCGCAGCAGGCGAGAAAACUUUGCAAUGUGCGAAAGCACGACAAGGUUAAUCCGAGUGGUUUCUGCUAAAGGAACCUUUUGACAGUCCUAGAAACACUGUUGAAUAAGGGGUGGGCAAGUUCUGGUGUCAGCCGCCGCGGUAAAACCAGCACCUCAAGUGGUCAGGAUGAUUAUUGGGCCUAAAGCAUCCGUAGCCGGCUCUGUAAGUUUUCGGUUAAAUCUGUACGCUCAACGUACAGGCUGCCGGGAAUACUGCAGAGCUAGGGAGUGGGAGAGGUAGACGGUACUCGGUAGGAAGGGGUAAAAUCCUUUGAUCUAUUGAUGACCACCUGUGGCGAAGGCGGUCUACCAGAACACGUCCGACGGUGAGGGAUGAAAGCUGGGGGAGCAAACCGGAUUAGAUACCCGGGUAGUCCCAGCUGUAAACCAUGCAAACUCAGUGAUGCAUUGGCUUGUGGCCAAUGCAGUGCUGCAGGGAAGCCGUUAAGUUUGCCGCCUGGAAGUACGCACGCAAGUAUGAAACUUAAAGGAAUUGGGCGGGG